AAUGAACGCUGGCGGCAUGCCUAACACAUGCAAGUCGAACGAAGGCUUCGGCCUUAGUGGCGCACGGGUGCGUAACGCGUGGGAAUCUGCCCCUUGGUUCGGAAUAACAGUUAGAAAUGACUGCUAAUACCGGAUGAUGACGUAAGUCCAAAGAUUUAUCGCCGAGGGAUGAGCCCGCGUAGGAUUAGCUAGUUGGUGUGGUAAGAGCGCACCAAGGCGACGAUCCUUAGCUGGUCUGAGAGGAUGAUCAGCCACACUGGGACUGAGACACGGCCCAGACUCCUACGGGAGGCAGCAGUGGGGAAUAUUGGACAAUGGGCGAAAGCCUGAUCCAGCAAUGCCGCGUGAGUGAUGAAGGCCUUAGGGUUGUAAAGCUCUUUUACCCGGGAUGAUAAUGACAGUACCGGGAGAAUAAGCUCCGGCUAACUCCGUGCCAGCCGCCGCAGUAA
rnacentral:rRNA from 1 species